rnacentral:rRNA from 1 species
CAGUCGCCACGGGAAUACGUAGGGUGCAAGCGUUAAUCGGAAUUACUGGGCGUAAAGCGUGCGCAGGCGGUUUGUUAAGACAGAUGUGAAAUCCCCGGGCUCAACCUGGGAACUGCAUUUGUGACUGGCAAGCUAGAGUGUGGCAGAGGGGGGUGGAAUUCCGCGUGUAACAGUGAAAUGCGUAGAUAUGCGGAGGAACAUCGAUGGCGAAGGCAGCCCCCUGGGCCAACACUGACGCUCAUGCACGAAAGCGUGGGGAGCAAACAGGAUUAGAUACCCCCGUAGUCCCUGUCUCUUAUAA